CAAGCGUUGUUCAUCAUCAUUCUAACCCGAACCCAAGCCCCAAAAUUCCGUCCAAAUCCAUGGCGAGCGAGCAUCAACCCCUAACCCACACAUCCCUCUAUCUCUCCUCUUACCAUUUCUAACGGUCUCUGACGGAAGAUUCUUCCUACUCGCUCGAAUUGAGCCUUAUCUUUGAUUUGAGGCUUCUGGAAAGGAUUUGCUGGAUGAGUGUGAGCCAUUGGAUUGAUUUCACUUAAUCCAAGCCCCACAUUCAUCAGGAAUUCAUUUUCAAAAGAAGCUCUAUCCAAUUUCUAAGGAGGUCGGCUAAAAAAUUCAGAGAAAAAAACGGUUGAAAGGUUUUAUGUGAAAGUGGGUUUUCGGAGUUGAAUUCCUUUGACGAGGUCAUUAAAGUUUAAGAAAAACAUAGAUACAAUUUUUUUUUCUUAUUUUUGAAUCCGGAUUUGAGUUCCUGGGAUAUACAAAUUGAAGUUUGAGCUACGUUUCUACUGUUGUUCUGCUGAGUCACUACUGAACCUCGAUAGGAUUCGGAAUCAAAAGGUGUAAUGUCGAGAACAUAGUUAUUAAAGGGAUUUUGAUAUUUCAUGUUCGAUUUCUUUCUCUUUCGUAUCUCUGUUAUAACUAGACCCCUCCUGGUGGGAAUAUACUGGGUAGUUGUCGUAUCUCUGUUAUAAAGUAUUUUGAGCAGUGAGAUUUUGUCCAGAAUGAUGUUUGGUUCUGUGCGUGAUUCUCUUUGCUGUUAAACUGCUUCUCAGUGGUAUGAUGUAUUUGGAUAUUUUCAAUUAGUAGAAGUUUAUUUUGAGUGGUCGUUUUCUAUGAUUUAACUGUUAUUGU
rnacentral:lncRNA from 1 species